CUUCAAAGCUUUGGGUUCAUUUCAGAGAAGCUUCCCUGCUCUGCUCAUUAAACUUAAGGGCUUUGAACAUGGGAUAGAGGUAAUGAUUGGAUAGAAAGCGUUAAUCUGUUCAUUUACUUCCCAGCCUCCAAAA
ensembl:snoRNA